UCUCUCUCUCUCUCUCUCUCUCUCUCUCUUCAUUUUUUUUUUAAAUCUUUCAUUCUCAGCUUCGUAUUCCUCCCAAGUUUUCUCGACCCAUCCUCUAUUCUCUCUCUCCAUCUCGCGACUCUCGAUUUCUCUUCAUCUUGCUGAACCACUCUCUCUCUCUCUCUCUCCGUUUUUGAAUUUAUGUAUUAUUUUGUUUAUGAAUUUGAUGAUCUGUGAUUUUUGUUUGCAGAAGAAGGAAAAUAUUACUCCGAUUGGCUUGAAGAUCGUGGUAAUUUCUACUCCAUGUCUUUUUGCUUUUCAACUCCUCCUCACCCAUUGUUGUUGGUGUUGGUGUUGCAGUGGUGGUGAGAGAUCAACGGAAGAUGGAAGAUGGAGAAAAAGUUUUGUCUCUCUGUUGGAUAACUGGAUAAGACCGACGGGUAAGGGGGUGAGGCUUGAUUAAAAAAUAUAUAUAUUUAUGUAAGUUCUUGCUAGCUAGCUUCAUCAUCAAGAGCUCCACACCUUAAACAUCAGUACGUAUAAUUUCUUUCUAGCAAUAAUAUUCAGGCUAGCUAAAAGGAUGGACCCGACCAGCUCCAUGGAUUCUUAUUAUGAUCCUACAGAUCAAAACAUGGCUCUGAAACUUCCAACGGCAACGUCUCCCUUACCACCACCGGAGAUAUUGGUAGUUCCCGCUCCGUGGUGAUCGAAGUUAUUGGCCUCGACGAAGCCGCUCUUCAUAGGUUCCCGAAGUUGCUUUACUCCCAGACCAAACUCAACAAGGCUGGUGACUCCACUGCUUCUGCCUGCUGCUCCAUAUGUUUACCACUGAGACUUUAAAAUAUCAAUAGAAAUCUUAAGAGGAUCCUUUUUAUUAAAAAAAAAAAAGGUGCAUUAUUUUCUCUCAAAAUUUUCUUGGAAGUUUCAUGUACAAGCGUUCAUUAAGAGAUGACUUUUCUUCUUUUUUCA